rnacentral:rRNA from 1 species
AUGAACGCUGGCGGCGUGCCUAAUACAUGCAAGUCGAGCGAACAGACGAGGAGCUUGCUCCUCUGACGUUCGCGGCGGACGGGUGAGUAACACGUGGAUAACCUACCUAUAAGACUGGGAUAACUUCGGGAAACCGGAGCUAAUACCGGAUAAUAUAUUGAACCGCAUGGUUCAAUAGUGAAAGACGGUUUUGCUGUCACUUAUAGAUGGAUCCGCGCCGCAUUAGCUAGUUGGUAAGGUAACGGCUUACCAAGGCGACGAUGCGUAGCCGACCUGAGAGGGUGAUCGGCCACACUGGAACUGAGACACGGUCCAGACUCCUACGGGAGGCAGCAGUAGGGAAUCUUCCGCAAUGGGCGAAAGCCUGACGGAGCAACGCCGCGUGAGUGAUGAAGGUCUUCGGAUCGUAAAACUCUGUUAUUAGGGAAGAACAAAUGUGUAAGUAACUAUGCACGUCUUGACGGUACCUAAUCAGAAAGCCACGGCUAACUACGUG